GCCAACAUGGUUUGGUGGUUUGAACCUUAGACUAUUACUCUGGAGAACAGGGUUUGAAUCCAUGUUCAGCCA